GGUAGUCCUAGCCGUAAACGAUGGACACUAGGUGUGGGGGGAGUCGAAUCCCUCUGUGCCGCAGCCAACGCGUUAAGUGUCCCGCCUGGGGAGUACGGCCGCAAGGCUAAAACUCAAAAGAAUUGACGGGGCCCGCACAAGCAGCGGAGCAUGUUCUUUAAUUCGAUGCAACGCGAAGAACCUUACCUGGACUUGACAUGGUGCUGCAAGCGCACGGAAACGUGUGACCUUCGAGGGUGCACCACAGAUGCUGCAUGGCUGUCGUCAGCUCGUGUCGUGAGAUGUUGGGUUAAG
rnacentral:rRNA from 1 species